UGAGUAAGCCAGACGAACGCAGAUAGAUGGCGAAAGCCCCUGUUUGAGGAAAGUCCGGGCUCCAAAGGGCAGGAUGCCGGCUAACGGCCGGUGAGGGUGACCUCAAGGAUAGUGCCACAGAAAGAAACCGCCGAUUCCAUCGGUAAGGGUGCAACGGUGCGGUAAGAGCGCACCGGCAGGCAGGAGACUGCCUGGCCAGGUAAACCCCAUCCGGAGCAAGACCGUAGGCUGUUUUAGCCACAGAAAAACGAAAGGGGCGGCCCGUCCCGUUUUUCGCUUAGGUUGCUAGAGCCCAUUGGCAACAAUGGGAAUAGACAGAUGUUCGUCAAAUACAGAACCCGGCUUACAGACUUGCUCAGCAU
rnacentral:RNase_P_RNA from 1 species